rnacentral:rRNA from 1 species
GGCUAGAGUUUGAUCAUGGCUCAGGACGAACGCUGGCGGCGUGCCUAACACAUGCAAGUCGAACGGAAAAUUGAGCUUCGGUUCAAUUUUUAGUGGCGAACGGGUGAGUAACGCGUAGGCAACCUGCCCUUUAGACGGGGACAACAUUCCGAAAGGGAUGCUAAUACCGGAUGUGACGCUCCUAUCGCAUGAGGGGAGCGUGAAAGAUGGCCUCUACAUGUAAGCUAUCGCUAAAGGAUGGGCCUGCGUCUGAUUAGCUAGUUGGUAGUGUAACGGACAACCAAGGCGAUGAUCAGUAGCCGGUCUGAGAGGAUGAACGGCCACAUUGGGACUGAGACACGGCCCAGACUCCUACGGGAGGCAGCAGUGGGGAAUCUUCCGCAAUGGGCGAAAGCCUGACGGAGCAACGCCGCGUGAGUGAAGAAGGUCUUCGGAUUGUAAAGCUCUGUUGUACGUGACGAAUGUGCCGGUUGUGAAUAAUGGCUGGUAAUGACGGUAGUGUACGAGGAAGCCACGGCUAACUACGUGCCAGCAGCCGCGGUAAUACGUAGGUGGCAAGCGUUGUCCGGAAUUAUUGGGCGUAAAGAGCAUGUAGGCGGCCUAUUAAGUCGGGCGUGAAAAUGCGGGGCUCAACCCCGUAUGGCGCCCGAUACUGGUGGGCUUGAGUGCAGGAGAGGAAAGGGGAAUUCCCAGUGUAGCGGUGAAAUGCGUAGAUAUUGGGAGGAACACCAGUGGCGAAGCGCCUUUCUGGACUGUGUCUGACGCUGAGAUGCGAAAGCCAGGGGAGCGAACGGGAUUAGAUACCCCGGUAGUCCUGNNGUAAACGAUGGGUACUAGUGUAGAGUAUCGACCCUUCUGUGCNAGUAACGC